UCUCUAUCGAGGUUAAAGGUGCCUGUACCGCAAACCGACACAGGUGGGUGAGGAGAGUAUCCUAAGGCCAGCGAGAGAACUGUUGUUAAGGAACUCGGCAAAAUGACCCCGUAACUUAGGGAGAAGGGGUGCCUUCGAAAGAAGGCCGCAGAGAAUAGGCCCAAGCGACUGUUUACCAAAAACAUAGGUUUCUGCUAAGUCGCAAGACGAUGUAUAGGAGCUGACGCCUGCCCGGUGCUGGAAGGUUAAGGGGAUCUGUUAGAGCAAUCGAAGCAGUGAACUUAAGCCCCAGUAAACGGCGGCCGUAACGAUAACGGUCCUAAGGUAGCGAAAUUCCUUGUCGGGUAAGUUCCGACCCGCACGAAAGGCGUAACGAUUUGGGCACUGUCUCAACAACAGACUCGGUGAAAUUGUAAUACCGGUGAAGAUGCCGGUUACCUGCGACAGGACGGAAAGACCCCAUGGAGCUUUACUGUAGCUUGACAUUGAGUCUCGGUGCUACAUGUACAGGAUAGGUGGGAGACUAUGAAGCAUGGACGUCAGUCUGUGUGGAGUCAUCCUUGGGAUACCACCCUUGUAGUACUGGGAUUCUAACCAGAGGCCAUGAAUCUGGUCUUGGGACACUGUCAGGUGGACAGUUUGACUGGGGCGGUCGCCUCCCAAAAAGUAACGGAGGCGCUCAAAGGUUCUCUCAGUACGGUCGGAAAUCGUACGAAGAGUGUAAAGGCAAAUGAGAGCUUGAUUGCAAGACAUACAGGGCGAGCAAGGACGAAAGUCGGACUUAGUGAUCCGGUGGUUCCGCAUGGAAGGGCCAUCGCUCAACGGAUAAAAGCUACCCUGGGGAUAACAGGCUGAUCUCCCCCAAGAGUCCACAUCGACGGGGAGGUUUGGCACCUCGAUGUCGGCUCAUCACAUCCUGGGGCUGUAGUAGGUCCCAAGGGUUGGGCUGUUCGCCCAUUAAAGUGGUACGCGAGCUGGGUUCAGAACGUCGUGAGACAGUUCGGUCCCUAUCCGUCGCAGGCGUAGGAAAUUUGAGGAGACCUGUCCUUAGUACGAGAGGACCGGGAUGGACGUACCGCUGGUGUACCAGUUGUUCUGCCAAGGGCAUGGCUGGGUAGCUAAGUACGGAAAGGAUAAGCGCUGAAAGCAUCUAAGCGCGAAGCCCACUUCAAGAUAAGAUUUCCCACCGCAAGGUUAAGAUCCCAGGAAGGCUACCUGGUUGAUAGGUCAGAGGUGUAAGUGUAGUAAUAUAUUUAGCUUACUGAUACUAAUAGAUCGAGGACUUGACC
rnacentral:rRNA from 1 species